CCUCGUUCUCCUCAGGCCGAAGCCUCGAGACGGCCCUGGAAGCUGGGCCUUGCAGCUCCAGGACCCACCCCCUUCUCUAGCCGGGCAGGUGCUGGGUGACGUCAGAGCCGGGCUCCCUCCCGGUGACGCGAUGUGGCCCCGCCCCGCGCUGGACCGUGGAGGUAGCCGCACCAGAGAGCUCUGAAGCCGACAGGGGAUUCCCGUGCCCCCUCCCCAUCUUCCCGCUUCCCGUACCAGCCAGUGCCCCUCAGACCAUGGCAGCGGUGACCCUGUCGGUGCCCGGGCGGAAGGCGCCC